UUUCUCCUACGGGAGGCAGCAGUUAGGAAUAUUCGUCAAUGGGGGAAACCCUGAACGAGCAAUGCCGCGUGAACGAUGACGGUCCUCUGGAUUGUAAAGUUCUGUUGUUUGGGAAGAACGGCUCUAAUAGGAAAUGAUUAGAGAUUGACUGUACCAUUCAAGAAAGCCACGGCUAACUACGUGCCAGCAGCCGCGGUAAUACGUAGGUGGCGAGCGUUAUCCGGAUUUAUUGGGCGUAAAGGGAGCGCAGGCGGCCUGCCACGUCUGGUGUGAAAACCCGGGGCC
rnacentral:rRNA from 1 species